UUGAACGCUGGCGGAAUGCUUUACACAUGCAAGUCGAGCGGCAGCGCGGGGGCAACCCUGGCGGCGAGCGGCGAACGGGUGAGUAACAUAUUGGAACGUACCCAUUGGUGGGGGAUAACACAUCGAAAGAUGUGCUAAUACCGCAUACGACCUGAGGGUGAAAGCGGGGGAUCGCAAGACCUCGCGCGGACGGAGCGGCCGAUGGCAGAUUAGGUAGUUGGUGGGAUAAAAGCUUACCAAGCCGACGAUCUGUAGCUGGUCUGAGAGGACGACCAGCCACACUGGGACUGAGACACGGCCCAGACUCCUACGGGAGGCAGCAGUGGGGAAUUUUGGACAAUGGGCGCAAGCCUGAUCCAGCCAUGCCGCGUGAGUGAAGAAGGCCUUCGGGUUGUAAAGCUCUUUCAGACGGAAAGAAAUCGGGCGCGUGAAUAGCGUGCCUGGAUGACGGUACUGUCAGAAGAAGCACCGGUUAACUACGU
rnacentral:rRNA from 1 species